CUGCAGCUCAAGUGGUGACCGCUAUUAUUGGGCCUAAAACGUUCGUAGCCGGCUGAGUGAAUGCUUGGGUAAAUCGUGCCGCUUAACGGUACGAAUUCCGGGUAGACUGCUCAGCUUGAGACCGGGAGAAGCUAGAGGUACUCCUGGGGUAGAGGUGAAAUUCUGUAAUCCUGGGGGGACCACCAGUGGCGAAGGCGUCUAGCUAGAACGGGUCUGACGGUGAGGGACGAAACCCUGGGGCGCAAACCGGAUUAGAUACCCGAGUAGUCC
rnacentral:rRNA from 1 species